rnacentral:rRNA from 1 species
ACAGAGGGUGCAAGCGUUAAUCGGAAUUACUGGGCGUAAAGCGUGCGUAGACGGUUAUUUAAGUCGGGUGUGAAAGCCCCGGGCUCAACCUGGGAAUUGCAUUCGAGACUGAAUAGCUAGGGUGCGGAAGAGGGAAGCGGAAUUUCCGGUGUAGCGGUGAAAUGCGUAGAUAUCGGAAGGAACACCAGUGGCGAAAGCGGCUUCCUGGUCCAGCACCGACGUUCAGGCACGAAAGCGUGGGGAGCAAACAGGA